rnacentral:rRNA from 1 species
GAUGAACGCUGGCGGCGUGCCUAAUACAUGCAAGUCGAACGAGCUCUUCGGAGCUAGUGGCGGACGGGUGAGUAACACGUUGGUACCUACCCCUAAGUGGGGAAUAACUGCCCGGAAAGGGUGGCUAAUACCGCAUAAUCCCGCAAGGGUAAAGCAGUAAUGCGCUUAGGGAGGGGCCUGCGUCCCAUUAGCUUGUUGGUAGUGUAAUGGACUACCAAGGCGACGAUGGGUANCUGGANCGAGAGGUUGACCAGCCACACUGGGACUGAGAUACGGCCCAGACUCCUA